UACGAAGGGGGCUAGCGUUGCUCGGAAUUACUGGGCGUAAAGCGCGCGCAGGUGGUUUGUUAAGUUGGGGGUGAAAGCCCGGAGCUCAACUCCGGAAUUGCCUUCAAAACUGGCAAGCUAGAGUACGGCAGAGGAGAGUGGAAUUCCCAGUGUAGAGGUGAAAUUCGUAGAUAUUGGGAAGAACACCAGUGGCGAAGGCGGCUCUCUGGUCCGUUACUGACACUGAGGCGCGAAAGCGUGGGGAGCAAACAGG
rnacentral:rRNA from 1 species